UACGUAGGGGGGCAAGCGUUUGUCCGGAUUUAUUGGGCGUAAAGAGCGUGUAGGCGGCCAAGCAGGUCCGCUGUGAAAACUCGAGGCUCAACCUCGAGACGUCGGUGGAAACCGUUUGGCUAGAGUCCGGAAGAGGAGAGUGGAAUUCCCGGUGUAGCGGUGAAAUGCGCAGAUAUCGGGAGGAACACCUAUGGCGAAGGCAGCUCUCUGGCCUGACACUGACGCUGAGGUGCGAAAGCGUGGGGAGCGAACGGG
rnacentral:rRNA from 1 species